CAACCUGCCCACCACUUGGGGAUAACCUUGCGAAAGUAAGACUAAUACCCAAUGAUAUCUCUAGAAGACAUCUGAAAGAGAUUAAAGAUUUAUCGGUGAUGGAUGGGGAUGCGUCUGAUUAGCUUGUUGGCGGGGUAACGGCCCACCAAGGCAACGAUCAGUAGGGGUUCUGAGAGGAAGGUCCCCCACAUUGGAACUGAGACACGGUCCAAACUCCUACGGGAGGCAGCAGUGAGGAAUAUUGGUCAAUGGACGAGAGUCUGAACCAGCCAAGUAGCGUGCAGGAUGACGGCCCUAUGGGUUGUAAACUGCUUUUAUAAGGGAAUAAAGUGAGUCUCGUGAGACUUUUUGCAUGUACCUUAUGAAUAAGGACCGGCUAAUUCCGUGCCAGCAGCCGCGGUAAUACGGAAGGUCCGGGUGUUAUCCGGAUUUAUUGGGUUUAAGGGGAGCGUAGGCCGGAGAUUAAGCGUGUUGUGAAAUGUAGACGCUCAACGUCUGCACUGCAGCGCGAACUGGUUUCCUUGAGUACGCACAAAGUGGGCGGAAUUCGUGGUGUAGCGGUGAAAUGCUUAGAUAUCACGAAGAACUCCGAUUG
rnacentral:rRNA from 1 species